AUAUCCACAAGCGUCGAGGAAACUCAUCAUGUAGUAAAUAAACAAGCGGCUACUAUUCAACCAUAAAUAUCUUUUAAAAUUCUACAUUAUUGACUUCUAUAUAUUAAACAGCACGUCUGGGUAGAAGCUAGUUAAAAAGUGAAAGUUCUACAUACAUGGAGAGUUCUCGUUUGCGCUAACAAUAAGAGUACAUAAGUUGUGAUUUGUAUUUCCAACGAAAGAUAACAUUUCAUUGUUGUGUUCUAGUGCAAACUUGUGAAUCUUUUCGAAGAAAGAAAAUAGAAAGAAAAAUCAAGAUAAAACAGUUGGCGAAUAUUGAUCUCCUUUUCCGUUCGUGAAACUUUCAUAUCGUGUGUCGAUGUCAUCCAAUUCCGCUAACCCUAAAAGUGGAGGGGAAAAGAGCAUUAAGGACAAAGGCGACCUCUGUUGUGGCAACGGACGCGCAUCAAACUAUGCAUUGCAUUGCUGUCGAAAAUGGCGUCGAGCUCGGAGCUGCCAGAAUAUUCGUCCCCUGCAAAACGACGAAAAGUCGACGGCAACGGUUACAUCGGCGCCAGCGCUACGAAACUGGAUUUCCAACAUUGUGAGACGUCGCGUGACACCCCUAACGAGGAUCUCGAAGAGACAUACGGAGGAGAUAGCGGGUUCAAUGAAUUAAGCGACGAAUCAAAAUCAACUUCAGUUUCUCCAGAUGCUACAAAUUUAACGACUACUCCAUCUAGAAUCGAUUCCACUAGCGACGAUACCGGUUGUCCGAUCGAUACUGCAGACGAGAAGGACGAAGUGUCCUCGACAGUUUCAAAUUUGUCAGAUUUAUCAGGCCUGUCCGACUUUUCUGGGGAAGGUGAAGUGAAUCAUCAAUGGAGGAAUGCAUCCUCGUGGGUUCAGAAACAAAUGUUGAUAGGUGCUGACCCUCGAGAACUUUUACACCAUCUCCUUAUGGAUUCCACACAGAUUCCAGAGCAGGUCGACGACCUGACUCUUUGGAAGAUUAUAGUAAAUGUGAUGUCUGAACCACCCCGUCGACAGAAGUUGAGGCAUAUAAAUACUUUGUCGGACGUGGUCAGAUUAAUACGUAAUAGUAAAAAAAUUAUAGUCUUAACUGGAGCGGGCGUGAGUGUCAGUUGUGGUAUUCCUGACUUCAGAAGUAGAGACGGUAUUUAUUCUAGGCUGGCUCAAGAUUUUCCCGACUUACCCGAUCCACAGGCUAUGUUUGAUAUUAAUUACUUUGGUCAAGACCCGAGACCGUUUUACAAAUUCGCACGAGAAAUUUAUCCUGGACAAUUUAAGCCAAGUCCUUGUCACAGGUUUAUUAAAAUGCUCGAUAAGCAGAAGAAGCUUUUAAGAAAUUAUUCGCAAAACAUCGACACCCUCGAACAAGUAGCAGGCAUCGAAAACGUGAUCGAAUGCCAUGGCUCCUUUGCCACUGCAUCGUGUACGAGGUGUAAAUACCAAGUAAAAGCUGACGAUAUCAGGGAGGACAUUUUUGCUCAGAGGAUACCAGUGUGUCCAAAGUGCAGAAUUAACGCUUUGCCACCCAUAUCGGAGAUUAACCCUAACGAGAGUUACAGAGAUUUGGUGACGCAGGGCAUAAUGAAGCCAGAUAUCGUUUUCUUUGGCGAGGGACUACCGGAUGUUUUUCACGAUGCGAUGUCCAAAGACAAAGACGACUGUGAUCUCUUAAUCGUAAUCGGAUCAUCCUUGAAAGUCCGCCCUGUAGCGUUAAUUCCUUCCUCUAUUCCGUCUCAUGUUCCACAGAUUUUAAUUAAUCGCGAAUCGUUGCCGCAUCUCAAGUUCGACGUCGAACUGUUGGGAGACGGUGACGUCGUUAUAAACCAGCUGUGUCAGUUAAUGGGAGACAGUUACAAGGAAGUAUGUUGGAACGACACAGUUCUCAAAGAAGCAACCCAACUUCUGCCCAUACGUUACAUGUCAGACGACACAUGGGAGCAAAGCCAAGACACCACAACGAACACUGUGUUAACACGAGAUAGUGCCGUGACUGAUUUUAAACCGCACGACUCGUGCUCCGUCGAAAGUCAAGACAGUCUUAUGAUCAAUAACAACAGCGGUAUCCAACAAUGCACGGACAGUAUAAACAUGUGCGUUUCACCUUACCGUAACGAUCACACGAAUAAUAGAGAGGAGAGAUUCAGUCUGUUGGGAGACAGUCCUAAGAGAAGACUGGCCGAGUCAAGUGCUGAGAGUAGUCCAAAAAGAAUGAAUUGUGGCAGCAGUUCCGCGUUAGACUUUAACUUGUCCUCCUCGAUAACUGAGAAUUCCGAUUGCUCGACUGAUUAUAAAAUUCACGUCGUGUCGGUGGAAUCUACUUCGAAGGACAAUGGAAAAGUUUACAAUUUAGAAGAGUGUCAAGUAUUUCCAAGGAUAGUAGAAUUCUCUUCGGAAGGUACAAUGUUAGAUUCGUCGUUAAAAUCCAAUCGUUGUAUGGAGAACACGGUGGCAUCGAGUAUGAACGAUGAUCACGCGCCGGUACCCACCACUGGAAUUGAUAAAAUUAAUUUCAAACCGCGACAAGCGUCGAUCGAUUCCGCCUUGGAUUCUGGAAUAGGCGAUAGCUGUAACAGUGUCGACAGUCGAGAGGGGAAGAACGAUAAAGACGAGUUCAAAAAUGAUAGAAUGGAGAGGCACUGUUGGCAGCCGAAAAUACGAGAAAGUAUCGCUACGAGGUUACCAGAAAACACGUAUUACCAAUUAACACCUGGAAAGUAUAUUUUCCCUGGGGCAGAAAUAUAUUCAGACCCUGAGGAUUACGAUCAGUGUUCUCUUUCGAUUAAUUCCGAAAGCUCGGAGAGCGACAGUGAUUCCUCGUCUGCGGUUGAAGAGGAGGAGGAAGAGGAGGAGGAAGAGGAGGAAGACGAAGACGAGGAGGAGGAUAAUCAACAAGGAGAAACGAAUAAAGAGUGCAAAAAGGAAGAAAUAGGUAAUGGUGAUAAGUUGUUGGAAAGUAUAAACAUCAAAGCUGAUACCAAUACGGAGGGUGAGGAGGUAAAGUGGACGACGAGUCAUCUUUACAGUGGUGCACAAGGUUAAUGGAGAUCUGUAUUUAAGAAGUGACAAUCCUGAUUCUUGUUACCUUCAUCGAACUUGAAUGUUCGAGGAAAGAAACUAUGAACAAUUGGCAAAGAGUGCAAUUCUACCAGUUGUACAUACGUUACACGCGUGUACGCGCUAUCGUGCAAACGUUCCGUACGUUUGCUUUCCUACGAGGCUUAUGUUCUUCGAAUAGGAUCUGCUCUCAGAGAGAGAGAGAGAGAGAGAGAGAGAGAGAGAGAGAGAGAGAGCUGUUUCACGAUUUCUCGAACAAGCAACGCGUUUUGUUACAAAGCACAAGACAUUCGAACUUACCAUAAUUUUCUGUUACGUAGCUACAGUAGAGGUAACAUUGAUUCAUACUUUUUUUUUUUUUCAAAUACAUUUUCAAGUUAUAUCUUAACGUAAAAGAAAGCAACAAGUUCUGCAUCUUUUCAUUUACAUUUUCAGAAAGCAUAAAUUGAAUAGUAUAUUCAUCGAAUCGGUUUACGUAAUGAAAUGCAAGUACUUAAGAGAUGCGUAUCAGUGAUGGGCCCUCCAGGCAUGUAACGCGAGAACCUCAAUAAAUUGGAAAAAAUCGUUUCCCCGUGAAAAUGUCCACAGAGCGACAAUUUUCGAAAGAAACAUUCGAUAUUUAAGAAAUGAUCGCUAUUAUAAAGUAAGCAUUCGUUACGAGAUAGAAGCGUAGAAUCUAUUUACUUUCGUCAGUCAUUGUUAGUAGCGAAAGAGGUUAUAAAACCGAUCCAUGAUUCAAAUUCGCAUACGAUAUGUCCAUCUUUUCGUUGAUCGGUUAUCAUAGACUAAUGUAGCGUGUUUUAUGAGCGAGCAUUUACACCAGACGACGGUGCCCUCCCUAUUCGUUCGUACGUAAAAAAGAAACGACGUUAGAAAAAAAAAAUAAUUUUAUCGUAACUUGUAAAUAAUUGAUCGAAAGAAGUAGAUUAGUUGUUCAAAGUAUCGUGCAAUUGUAGAGAAAGAAGAAAUUUAGAAAUAUCACGGAAGUCUCGAAGAAAACGUAGAUAGAUUGCGCGUGUAACGUAAUCGAACAAGAAACGAGAAUUCGCAUGGUGAAAAGUGAUUUUGUCUUCUUAAUAUUUUACAGGCACAUACGUGUAACGUUGAUUUUUAUAGAGAAAAAAAAUCAAGCAUUUAACAGAUCGUCCCAAGAGAAAGUAACGAGUUGAAACAUUUCUCUUAGAGCAAGAAAGAAACUGUAUAAAAAAAAACGCGAAAAUUACAAGAUUAAUUAGCGUCGACUUUCAAUACUAGUACAAGUUUUACCAAUCGUUGUUGCAUCCUACUGUGCCGCUGUAAUUAGUACUACGACUAUAGUUGUCCCUUUCACUGUUACAUCUACUACUACAAAAUUGCUUGUCACUAAUAAUUAUUUAUGUUUUGUAAAUUAUUGUGUAAAUUGGAAGGUAAAAGAAAAUCGUAGAUAAUCGAGAAUCGUGUAUUUUUAAGUAUUUUCUUUGGUAACGUAAGGAAACACGGACAGAAAGUAUUAAUUCUGUUAUAAAACUUUCUUAAAAUAUACAGGAUGUUCCGACAGUGGUGAUAAAAUCGGGCAGUGGACAAGUCUGAUAAACUUACAGUUAGUAUAAUUACACUCUACCAAUUUUUAAACUGGAUUUUUUUGAAAGUAAAGAGUAUCUUCGACUUAUUUUCUCACAAGGAAUCGUCACUCGCUGCCCAAUUGUACCAUCAUCGCUGAAACAUCACGUGUAUGGGUGCGUUCGGCGCAGCAUUGAAUGAACGAACGUAUAUCCAAGUACGUACUGCACGGACACGUGUUUAAUUGCAUUUUCAAGAGUAGUAAGUGAUGCUUGUUCCGUGUAUCGUAAAACGAUGGAAAUAGUUUGAUCGAGGUAACGAUGACGAACACGACGAACAGUCUGUAGACCAUAGUUUUAAGUUUUUAGCGAUAGAUUUCAUUACCAGAACGCAGAAUUAGUCGCAAUGGUUUCGCACUGAAUGUUUUUAGAUUCGUUAGGUUUCAAUUUCUUUUCAUUGGAGCACGGGCGAAUGUACAAAGCAAUGUUGGAUAGCUUGGCAUUGCGUGUUAUUUUUAUAUGAACCGAGAGAACGGUAGAUUAGUAAACGUACAGGAUUAAACGCGAGAAACCUAGGAGCAUCAGCGACGAUCGUGUUGAAUACAUGUAGUCGUCGCGAAUAUUUGUAAGGAACGAAACGGUUGUGUGAAAAAUUUGUUAUAAUUAUUAGCAUGAUAAUUGUUUACUACACUUUUGCGCGUCGAUGUGUAGGAUGUGCAUGUACAUACAUGAUUGUAUGCAUACGCAUCUAAACGAUAAACACGAAUAGAUAUGGUGAACGCGACGAAGCGAACGAGAUUAUAAAACAGACCACCAUAAAAAAUAACUCAAUGUUUCUGAUCUGUGUGUAUAUAUAUGCAUACAUACAUACAUACAUACAUACAUACAUACAUACAUACAUAUUUGCAAUACAUGGCACGAAGUUUUAUUUUUCAUUAGCAGGGCCAUGUAAACAAAAAAGUAACGGAGACACAAUAGGAAAAAGUGAAACUCUGUUGAAACGUCCUGAACGAUUAAAGAGAGAGAAAGAAUGCAGAGGACUCGUUUGAGGCCCGAAUAGAAGGAGACAAAAAUAUAGUAAUUUUGGGUUCCUCACGGAUACAGUCAGUUUUAUAAGAUUUAGAAGAUUUAUUUUUCGCUAUGUACAGAUGGCUUUUAUUUAUCAUUGUUUCGCAAAUGAUACAGUUUAGGUCUUAUCUUUUAAAGCCUCCAUUUUGUCUUUAUUUAUUUGAGGUCUAUAUAAAUAAAUAAUAGAUAGAUAGGUAUAUAUAUAGAUAGAUAGAUAGAUAGAUAAAUAGAUAUGCGAGUGAGUGAAUGGAAGAACGAAUAAAUAUAAAAUAUAUUGCAUACUAUACGUACAUAGGUGUCGUAUAUUACACGCAUGUAUGCAAAGAUAUUCGCGUAAACGGUACGUGUACAUGUAAAAUGUAUUAAAAAAGUUGGUUUUAAUCGGCGUUCCAAAAAAGUUUUCAAAUCAAUCGAAACUCUCUUUCUCUUUCUCUCUGUUGAUCGACUAAAGGUGUGAAAAAAUAUGCGUUAUACAUACAUAGAUAUUUUUCUCAAGUAUGCGAUAACCGCGAAUGUGAACUAUAUUGUUGGAUUUAACGUAAAAUCCAUUCAAAGUUCUACUUAAGCAUUUACUUACUUUUCGACUACUUAAACGAAUAGUAUUUAUUUAAAAAAGAAACGCUUCAAACUGUAUUUGCUCCUUGAUUAUACGACGAUAGAUUUAUAUUAAACGUUAGACGUACAAGUUUUUUAUAAUAACGCCGUGUUGCUUCUGUACAGACAGUAUGCAAGCGUAUCCCGCGCACAGUCGAUUCAGAGAGAAGCAGUAACUUGGAAAGAUUUGACAAUCAUGCCAACUUUUUUUCCGACGGUACUGACUUUUUGUAUAAAUGCGUCAUAUGUAAAUAUUUAUUAUUUUUACUGUAUAAUGAAACGUGUAUUUCUGUCGUUUCGGCUGAACAUUGAAUCUCGCCGAAUCCUGUUCACAUAUUUCCUACUUUGUCUUUUUCUUUUUUUUUCUUUUUUUUUUUUUGCACUUCGACACUAACGCAUUCAUUUAAUUCACGCGUCGACCAAAAUGCAAUUAUUACGGUUUUCCAAACGGGAGACAUCAUUGUUCAGCCAUUACGAAAGAACGAGGUGCAGACGCUCUUCAUUUUUUUUAUAAUUUGUUAUUUAAUGUAAUGGAUGUUAUGAAAAUGUUCUCUAUUUCAGACGUUAUAAGUUUUCUGUUUCUUUGGUAUUAUUAAUAUGUAAGUUUAUCUCCUAAAUUAAACAUUUUCUAUGAUAA